GACGAACGCUGGCGGCGUGCUUAACACAUGCAAGUCGAACGGAAAGGCCCUGCUUUUGUGGGGUGCUCGAGUGGCGAACGGGUGAGUAACACGUGAGUAACCUGCCCUUGACUUUGGGAUAACUUCAGGAAACUGGGGCUAAUACCGGAUAGGAGCUCCUGCUGCAUGGUGGGGGUUGGAAAGUUUCGGCGGGUGGGGAUGGACUCGCGGCUUAUCAGCUUGUUGGUGGGGUAGUGGCUUACCAAGGGUUUGACGGGUAGCCGGCCUGAGAGGGUGAACGGCGACAUGAGGCCUGAGAGAGGCAGCAGACUCCUAUAGGGGGCAGCAGGGGGAAAUCUUGCCCAAUGAGCGGAAGCGUGAGGCAGAAACGCCGCGGUCGUGAAGACGGCUUUUUGGUUGUAAACCGCUGUCGGCUGUGACCAAGCGUGAGUGACGGUAAUGGGUAAAGAAGCACCGGCUAACUACGUG
rnacentral:rRNA from 1 species